AAGUUGACUUGUUUGUUUUCACACUUACCUUGCGGUCGUCCUGCGGUCUAAGGCCAGGCACUGUUUUCAUGUUGUCGGUCCUCUGUUGGAGCUGUUUCCCUUUAUCUGUUCCAUCUCUUCUAAAUCCCUUUGCUCCUUCUUCCCGGUGCUUCGUGACUGGGUCCUACCCGACCUGUUUAACCUUGUUUCGUAAAUUAUGGAAACUUCCCGACAUGGACUUGGAAAGCCGUUUCCGUCCUGCCACAUGCGGUGCCUUUUCCUGUCCCUCUUUCUUUUGUGAAUUACUUUGCCUUAAAUGUUUGUCUUCUCCCUGUCUGUCUCUUCAAAUCUGAUUGAUCUUUUGAGACCCAAGCCCUGUCACAUUUCCCUGAUGCCUCUAAAGAUGCCAGCGACUUCGCUCAUUUUUGGCAAGUGGAUUUGAUAGAAACUCAGAUCUGAAAUAUAACUGAUACUGUUUUCAGUCAAGGAACCUCUGUUUUCUCCACAGGAAAGAGGUGACACGCUCGGAUCCUUUAAUUAGCCUGUGGGUCCCCUAGGAGCAAAGCCUUUUGUGAUGAAAUUGGCUAACUUUUUUUUUUUUUUUGGUACAUUCUCAUAAAUUAUACAAAACCGUGUCGGCAGACAUCAUAAAACAGUUUAAGUGGUGUAUUUUUACAGAUUGAAUAACCAAAAAAACCUAUUUGCCAGUGUACAGUUAUGGAUUAAAUGGCUCACUACAACAACAAAGUUUGUUUUUGCUCUCCUCAGUCACUUGUUUUAUUUUUUUGUUUCCUUCUCUUGUUUUAUAGGCCUCCUCUCAGUUACCUCCUCUUCUUCCCACUAAGACGAGAGGAUGAAAGGGUGAGAAAGAGAUUGGCUGCGCGACUAGGUACAGCAGGCUAGCUCUGUAACCCAGGCCAGCUGGCAGCCUAGGACUGCUGUGAGGACACCAUGGCGUUAGAGCACAGGUGUGAGUGUGAGCUAGGCAGGGCCUGGGAAAAGUCCCGUCCUCCCUCCCCUCUUCCUCACGUGCAGCCCUUUGCCCCCUUCCAGGUGGGAGGUGAAGUGAGUCGGUUUAAGUGAAUGACUCUGGUAUGAUUGUGUUUGUCUGUUAGAUCAAAUGGGCAUUUGUAUUUAUAUUUUUUAUUUUAUCCAUUCACAUUUUGUAUUUGGAAACAGCUAGGGAGGAAUGUGGAGCUGGGGUAGACUUAAGAAGCCCCGGUGGCACAGUGGUUAAGUGUUCAAACCGACCAGCUGCUCCACGGGAGAGAGAUGUGGCAGUCUGCUUCCAUAAAGAUUACAUCCUUGGAAACCCUAUGGGGCAGUUCUGCUGUGUCCUGUGGGGUCGCCAUGAGUCAGAAUUGACUCGAUGGCAGUGGGUUUUUUUGGUUUGAGGUAGACUUGUGUCUUACUACAGUGUGAGGUGAGCCUGCUCUCAGUCAUGUCUGUGUGAGGUGUGCAGAAAGCCAAGGGGCAGGGCACCUCCUGGGACAAGCUGUCCCCUGUGCAGUGCUCCGGCUGGCUGGUGGGGGUAGAGGAGCUGCCCGCUGAAGCCCCAGCCCUUCCCCGUGCCUCCCUGGUCUGAAGAGGUUUGGAGCCGCUGCCCCUCUUUUGUCUAAGUUUGUUGUUUUCUCUGAUGCAAGAGUCCCAUUCAUAUCAGGUUUUCAAUAUUAUUUCAGUUAUUAUGAAAUAUUUUCAUUCCGUUUCGAAGCACAUCCUCUUCCUCUCAUCUUAGAAUUCAUCCCUGCACCUUUUGUAUUUCUGACUGACUCUUGUUACCAAGUUUCUGAUGCUUAAAUGUGAUACGGAAAUACAUCUUUUUCACUAAUACGGGUAUUGUUAGAUCUUCAAGCGGCCUAAUAUGCACCAGAGUUCAUUUUUAUGCAAAUGAAUAAGCAGCUUGCAUUCAGGGUCGAUGACCUAAAACCUGAUUUUCUUCACGUCUGGGAGUGGAGACAAACGUCCCCUUUCUCUGGCAGUCUGUAGGGGCCCCGGUCAGUUUGUAGUGGGGGUUAUACUCAUCUCAGGACGUUUUUGAACGUCGCAGUGUGAGUUCUUAGUCGAGGCUGGGUGCAGUCACUCAACUUUACUUGGCUUUGAAAAUGGACAGUUCUAGCGUGCUCCAAUUAAAAGCCGCUUGUACAGAUCCAGCAGUUCCCCCCGUCACUCCCAGUCUCCCCAGCGCGUGACGCAUCCUGGAUUAUUUUUAACAUGCUAGGUGGAAGGAAGUUGUGGUGCAGUAGGAAAAUAUUUUAAGAAGAAAUAAAGCAGGAUCAAAUUCAGCUCCUUUCCUCUCUGAUUCACCUUGACCAUUUCUGUAAAAACAAACAAACAAAACCCUCAAACUUUGUAUUGUAGAAAAUUUCAAGCCUAUAUAAGUAGAGAAUGAUAUAAUAAGUUUCCAUGUAAUAUACCCAUCACUCAGCUCCCCUGUUAUCAACGUUUUGCCAGUCUUGUUUCAUCUGCUCUCUUAACUGUUUUCUGGUGUGUAUUUAAAGCAGAUUUCAGACGUCUUAUUAAUUCAUUCAUGAAUGCUUAAGCGUGUAUCUGGAACAUUAAGGACCUUUUGUUAAAGCAUAAUCAACAUGCCAUUAUGACACUAACAAAAUCACUAAUAAUUCCUUGAUAUCAUCUAAUACUGCAUCCGUGUUCAGAUUUUCCCAAUUGUCUUUAAAAAAAAAAAGUGUCUUUUUAUAAGUCGUUUGGAUCCUGCUCCAAAUGAAACCAAGAUCCUCCCUGGCAUUCAGCUAUUCCGUUUCUGAAGUCUCCUUUAUUCUCCAACGUUCCCCCUUACUUUUGUUUUCUUUCAUGCCAUUGAUAUGUUACAGAAACUGGAUCAUUUGUCCUGUAAAACUACCUUCAUCCUUUGGUGAUUUAAUUGUUCGUUACAGCAGGUAAGCACACGAGGAAGACGCCGAGCUGAAAUCCGGCAGUGAGGCACUUUGUGGCAGCUCCGUUUAAAUGUGCGCUGAUGGAGAUGGGGGCUAAUGGCUACACCAGGCAGCUCCCCUUCUGGCCCUGUGAUUUUCAUAGCUCCUGUAGGACAGAGCAGAACUGCCUCAGGGUCGGAGCAGCGGCUGGUGCAUUCAGACAGCUCAUCUUUCGGUUAGCAGCCGAUCUCUUAACCACCAGGGGUAUUUGUUUAUGUGAAAGAUUUCCUUUUAAGAUUGUCCCAGCUAUUGGUUUUAUACCUCAGGGCCCAGGUGAUGUGUCCUUGUAUGUCCUUGUCACUCCAGCUGGGUCAUAUUCUUUAUACUCAAGGACAGGGAAUAAUGGUUCCAAUUUUAAUUCCUAAGUCAUUCUUUAACAAGAGACGCUCUAUUAUUAAAUUAUGCUUUCUUUUGAAAGACCUAACAUAUACUCAGAGGAGACUCUCUGCUUUGUGUGCUUCUGCAGACUGCUGUUCCUCAUUUAAUGACGCUGAAGUUAGUUAUCAAGCGUGUUUCUCUGAACUUGUCUGAAUGAUUUGUAUGACUUCAGCUGCUAAUUUUUAGGUAGAGUAGAUUUAUACUGUGCAUUUUUAAAAUCUAGUUUUUGAUUGUACUGUCAGCCAAAAACCACAUAUCUCUCUACAUUUAUUUUUUUGUCUUUUGUAGAUUCCAGAACAAAAAGACAAGUUCCUUGAGGAAUUCAACCACUAUAUUGUAUUACAUCUAAUCAGUGUAUACAUUUCAUGAUUGCCAUUGCUGUUAGCUUCCUAGUGAAGGAAGAACAACAUCUAGAAGCAGGGAUAGAAUGAUGAGCUGAGUGGGCAUCCACUGAAGUAGAAGGGGGAGUCUGCUCUAAGGGGAUGGAGCCCUGGUGGCGCAAUGGUUAAGCACUUGGCUGCUAACCGAAAGGCCCGCGGUUUGAACCACCAGCCGAUUUGCUGUAGAAAAGACCUGGUGAUCUGCUCCUAUAAAGAUUACAGCCUAGGAAACCCUGUGGGACAGUUCUACUCUGUCACAUGGGGCUGCUAUGAGUUGGAAUAGACUCGAUGGCACCCAGCAACGACAGCUCUAAGGGAAUGGAGGUGGUAGAGAAGAUAUUUGUGCAGACGACCCCACCCCACUGUUAAUGUUCAAGUCAGGGCAGAUUCCCUUUUGUUUUUCUGAGUGUGUUUUAAAUCACAAGUGCUUCGAGGUCCGUUAUAACUUGUAGUAUAGGCAUUUAAUAAUGAUGCAGUGGCUAAGAGGUUGGCUGCUAACCAAAAGGUCGGCAGUUCAAAUCCACCAGCUGCUCCUUGGAAACACUAUGGGGCAGUUCUACUCUGUCCUGUAGGGUUGCUAUGAGUCAGAAUCAACUCAACGGCAACGGGUUUGGUUUUGGGUUUUUGUUUUUACAUGAUAGAUAUUUUACUCGUGGAUUUAAUCAACUCAUGCUAUCAGCCUGCUGACUCUCUAGAGUUUGUAUUCUGGUUCUUGAGACCAGAUAAUAUUUCCAUAGCUCACUGCAUUCUCUAUGUGGGCAAACACAUGGCCUCUUUAAAAGCUGACAGCUGCAGUUCCCUGGAACACCAAAUGCUUUUCUGAAGUCCACGAAUUUAUUUUUUACACUGUGGAAAGUAAAACAGUAUUCUGCCAGAUCCAACUGGAUUUGAAGGGGAACAUGCCGGAUUGCUGUUUUGUUGUCAUAGAUACAUUUAUUCUCAGUUUCCUCUUUACUGGACAAAAAUCCAUGGGUUGGGGAAUGGUUUUUGAAAAUCAUGGCAUGGUUUGGAUUCCACUGGAUCCUUUCAUCCAUCAUGUGACGGCUUUAAAUAUAAAAUUAAGCACGUGGAAAACGAAGAGAAGUGAACCGUUGCGUAGCACUGCACGAGUUCUUAUUUGCCAAGGGCUUAAGUGAUUGUGGCACGUUAAGACUUUGACCUUCAGGGUUUAUCGACAAAGACAAGCGCAAAGAUCUACUUAAAGAUGUGUAUACUUCUAGUUUUUCAAACUGCUGUCCUUUAGUUCUCUUACAGGGAUUGGUUAAUUUUAUGCUUUUAUUUUGAUAAUAAAAAAAUAAGCAUUUAAGAUCAACUGGCUACCCGUUAUAUUUAUGGCUAAGUAUAAUCAGACAUUCCAGUGCGUGGUUUGCUUUUGUGCUUAUUUUGUGGACAGCAGAUAAUACUGUUUUAAUGGUUGAAAGCAAAUACAAAAAGAGUAGAGGUGGAAUUAAUAUGUAAAUGAAGUGUUUGAGCCCAGUAUAGGCCAAGUGAGUGACUUUGCAGGGAGCUGUAGGAAUGACGAUUUAAAUAGAGCACUGUGGUGGGCGUGGUGAGGCAUCCAGCAGCGUCCUGAAGUGUGGGCGGCCAGGUUUGGAGGCUGCAGCCGUGCCUGCCGGGCCCUCUGAAGUCAUGUCAGAGGGAGAUUUGUUCUCAGCACAUUGCCUUCCUUCCCACUAAGCCUGUGUUGCUGAAUUUGAUUGUUUGCUUAAUUUGCAAAUUUGUUUUGGUUUUAUCAUUGUGUGAAUGUUCACCUAAUUUGAACAUAUCUAAGUAACGUUAUAAUAAAAAUAUCAAUGAUCAUGAAGAUGGCACAGGGCUGGGGAACGUUCGUUCUGUUAUACAGGUAGUCCCCGACUUGAGAUGGGGUUCCGUUCUGACUUCUCUGUCUUAAGUCAGUUCAGAUGUAAGUUGAACACCUUUGUUUUUUCAGUUUUCAUUAUUAUUGCCUUUCAUUAUCAGUAUCUUUAUAAGCCCAUUCUUUAUUUGUCCUUGUGUGUUGGAAACAUUACAUAUAAACAUCUGAGAACGCUAACAUCGGCAAAUUCCGCGCUACAACAUUGUAUGGAGUACCAAAAAAAAAAAAACAAAGAUGGUUGUAA